rnacentral:rRNA from 1 species
GGGGGAUAACUACUGGAAACGGUAGCUAAUACCGCAUAACGUCGCAAGACCAAAGAGGGGGACCUUCGGGCCUCUUGCCAUCGGAUGUGCCCAGAUGGGAUUAGCUUGUAGGUGAGGUAACGGCUCACCUAGGCGACGAUCCCUAGCUGGUCUGAGAGGAUGACCAGCCACACUGGAACUGAGACACGGUCCAGACUCCUACGGGAGGCAGCAGUGGGGAAUAUUGCACAAUGGGCGCAAGCCUGAUGCAGCCAUGCCGCGUGUAUGAAGAAGGCCUUCGGGUUGUAAAGUACUUUCAGCGGGGAGGAAGGGAGUGAGGUUAAUAACCUUAUUCAUUGACGUUACCCGCAGAAGAAGCACCGGCUAACUCCGUGCCAGCAGCCGCGGUAAUACGGAGGGUGCAAGCGUUAAUCGGAAUUACUGGGCGUAAAGCGCACGCAGGCGGUCUGUCAAGUCGGAUGUGAAAUCCCCGGGCUCAACCUGGGAACUGCAUUCGAAACUGGCAGGCUGGAGUCUUGUAGAGGGGGGUAGAAUUCCAGGUGUAGCGGUGAAAUGCGUAGAGAUCUGGAGGAAUACCGGUGGCGAAGGCGGCCCCCUGGACAAAGACUGACGCUCAGGUGCGAAAGCGUGGGGAGCGAACAGGAUUAGAUACCCUGGUAGUCCACGCUGUAAACGAUGUCGACUUGGAGGUUGUUCCCUUGAGGAGUGGCUUCCGGAGCUAACG